rnacentral:rRNA from 1 species
AUUGAACGCUGGCGGCAUGCCUUACACAUGCAAGUCGAACGGUAGAAGGGGCAACCCUUUGAGAGUGGCGAACGGGUGAGUAAAGCAUCGGAACGUGCCCAGUAGUAGGGGAUAGCCCGGCGAAAGCCGGAUUAAUACCGCAUACGACCUACGGGUGAAAGCGGGGGACUCGCAAGAGCCUCGCGCUAUUGGAGCGGCCGAUGUCAGAUUAGGUAGUUGGUGGGGUAAAGGCCUACCAAGCCGACGAUCUGUAGCUGGUCUGAGAGGACGACCAGCCACACUGGGACUGAGACACGGCCCAGACUCCUACGGGAGGCAGCAGUGGGGAAUUUUGGACAAUGGACGAAAGUCUGAUCCAGCCAUGCCGCGUGCAGGAAGAAGGCCUUCGGGUUGUAAACUGCUUUUGUCAGGGAAGAAAUCUUCUGGGCUAAUACCCUGGGAGGAUGACGGUACCUGAAGAAUAAGCACCGGCUAACUACGUGCCAGCCGCCGCCGUAA